GGAGACCAAAGCAGUGGGUGUCUAGUAACCCUUAGAAAACCAACUGAUUUUUAUGUCAAGUACAUCAUUUGGUUAGAUUGAUUAGCCACCAAAACUAGUGACAUCUCUCAAAGAUCCCUGGAAAAUCAUGAAGGUGUUUUUUCCCUUUCACUGGAAGAAGGCUUAGAAAUGGUGCUGAUUAUCUGAAGUACUAUAAUGAGACACUUGGGAAAUACUGUCAAACAGAAAGAGGUUUACAGUCUCCCCUGUGUCACAUUUGUAUGAGUAAAUGUUAAUUAGAAUUAAUUGGAAGAAUUUUAAAAUUGUAUUCUGUCUGGGAAGGAUGAAGAUGAUGCCCGUUUGUAAUCAGGGGAGAGUCAGCCAGCAUCUGAUGGAAGCAGAUGCAGAAGAUGCAGUUACCAUGCCCAAACACUAGGCGGAGCUAGGGGAAUCCCGCAGAAGAGGGCAUGAGGACACAACCUACAGAAUAAACAAAUGGAAACCAGCAGAAAAACGAACCAUUCGGAAGACAGAAUGGUGGAGCUGAGUCCUAACAGAUGCAUCUACAAUACUCUUGCACCAAACUCGGGAAAUACUGCAGAGGAGGAGAUGGUCAGAGGACCAGGGAGUUUGCUGUGAGACCGUGCCUUCUGGUACUGUCAAAAGCUAUAGACUAUUGCCUAUAGAUUGCUACAAUGUGACUGCCUAAGCACGAGCUGAGCAAGGACGACACAAAUAGACAUUGGGAAGUGGACGGGGGAAAGUCAAUGAGGCCUCCACCCUCACACAAAGAACAACAGGCACUAAGGGAUUCUGAGAUUGGGAAAAAAUGAUCUUCCCCAGUGAACAUCACACCAAUUGGUUAUUCAUCACUAACUUCGUUUACGAUUUCAAAACCCUACUACAUCCAUUUAGUGCUUCCAACCCAUGCAUGGUUUGUGUCAUCCAUUGGAACACUGAUAGUCUUUAGGUCUGACAUUUACUUCUUUCACUAAUCUGUAUUACGGCAUAGUGAAUAUUGCAAAAUGUUUAUGCCCUACAUCUACUCAUACAACUGUGAGUUACAUAUUCUUCCAACCUGUCUUUUCAUGAUCUCCAACAAGAAUUUUCAUCGAUUUCAAGAGAUUUGAGAACAAUUGUUCUUGAUUUCAUUGGAAGAGACCUUACUAGGUGCUGUUAACAAUAAAUCCAGCAGUAAAAUUCUAGUGAGUCAUUGCUUGGGGAAUUUCAGAAUUCUAUCAAAUUGGAAAAGUACUGUAAUCAGGCUCUUCUCACAGAAGACCAUUCAGCCCAUGACGUAGCUGAUCUUGAAUGUAAACGCUGACCCAAGACUUUUGAAAUAACUCAUAACUUUAGAAUGUGAGCAACUUUCACCAAACAUGUUUUGCCGAGACUUCUAUGCUUAAUUUUCUCUUUUUAAAAAUUGCUUGCUAGUAAUCAUUCUUUUAAUUUUCUUUAUGUCUCUGGUCAGUUCUAGUCUCAUCAAAUAAGACCACAGGAAUUAUAGUGCAUGAUGUUUCCACAGGAAAGUGACCUUCAGCAAAUCACCCUAUGACUAAGUAGUUGUCAUUUUUUUCCUGGAAGAAGAAUUAAUUAUUCUAAUAUGUUAACCAGGGACUAAGCUAUUUAAAAUUUUAUUUUAAUAACAUUUAGAGCAAUGGGCCAUAUAUUCACCACCUGGAAUAGAUUAAUAGUGAUACGAGUAUGUUAUCCAGUUAGGAAAUUUAAUUCCACAGCAGUGCUUUCUAACGUCUGUGGGUUUUAUCUACCAACCUCUUGGAAUUCCUUAGGCUUGUGGUUACCAAAUUUGUUUCAACAAAUUUUACACUUUGCUAUUGACUUUUCAUGUCAGCAUUAGUUUUUUUCUUGAUUCUUUUUAAAAUUAUUUAUCUGAAAGCUUUUUUUUUCAAUUUUACAUACCAACCACAGUUACACCUCCCUCCCUUUCUCCUGCUUCCCCUAAACCUUACCACCACCCAAACUCCCAUCCACUCAUCAGAAAGUUUAAAGCAUCCCUUGGGAAGUCAACAAAUUCUGGCAUAUCAAGUUGAGGCAGAACCAAGCCCCUUCUCCCCUGUAUCUAGGCUGAGCAAGGCAUCCCACCAUAGAGAAUAGGCUCUGAAAAGUCAGUUCAUGCACUAGGGAUAAAUCCUGAUCCCUCUGCCAAUGGCCCCACAGACUGCUCAAACUACAGAACUAUCACCCACAUUUAGGGGGCAUAGGUGAGUCCUAGGCAGACUCCCCAGCUGUUAGUCUAGAUUCCGUGAGCUCCCCCCACACGCUCAGGUCAGCAGUCUCUGUGGGUUUCCCCAUCAUGACCUUGACCCCUUUGCUCAUAUAAUCUCUCUUCAGUCUCUUUGACUGGACUCCAGGAGCUUGCCCCAGUACUUAUCUGUGGAUCUCUGUAUCUGCUUCAGUAAGUUACUGGACACUACAGCAUUCUUUUGAAGGCAUCUAUAUCUAUUCAGAAUUAUAAAAAAAAGACCUUUGCUGUCACUGCUCAUCAGAUGACUCAAUUUAUCAGAAUCAUUUUCAUGGUGUGAAGGAGAUUUACGAUUGCCUUUCAACUGUUCAGUAACAACUAAAUCCAUUCAUCUUGAACAGAAGGCAUACUAAUGGUGUUGAACUUUUCCUGAGCUCUGUAUUCAAGGAAAACAGUGAUGAUUAAGAAGCACACACACCAUUUCACUUUAAGAAAAGACUUUAAUUUAACCCUGCAUGCCAUAAAAUUUAAUUAAGA